rnacentral:rRNA from 1 species
GACGAACGCUGGCGGCGUGCUCAACACAUGCAAGUCGAACGGAAAGGCCCUGCUUUUGUGGGGUGCUCGAGUGGCGAACGGGUGAGUAACACGUGAGUAACCUGCCCUUGACUUUGGGAUAACUUCAGGAAACUGGGGCUAAUACCGGAUAGGAGCUCCUGCUGCAUGGUGGGGGUUGGAAAGUUUGGGCGGUUGGGGAUGGACUCGCGGCUUAUCAGCUUGUUGGUGGGGUAGUGGCUUACCAAGGCUUUGACGGGUAGCCGGCCUGAGAGGGUGACCGGCCACAUUGGGACUGAGAUACGGCCCAGACUCCUACGGGAGGCAGCAGUGGGGAAUAUUGCACAAUGGGCGGAAGCCUGAUGCAGCAACGCCGCGUGCGGGAUGACGGCCUUCGGGUUGUAAACCGCUUUCGCCUGUGACGAAGCGUGAGUGACGGUAAUGGGUAAAGAAGCACCGGCUAACUACGUG